UUUGUCACGUGAUUUUCAUAAUGGGGCUGUGGUGCUCUCCUAUUGGUGAUGCUUCAAUGUACUAUAUCAUGAUGGCACAAGUGAAGUGAUAAGUGCACACACAUGCACUCACAACAGACCAUCCUCAGCAACAGCUGGCUGGCGGGUAAUGAGGAGAUGGUUAUCAAAUUUAUCUUCUAGUUGCACAGAGAAUGUGGACCAGAGCGUUCGGCUGUUCAUAAAUUCGUAACAGCACCUUCCUCCAGGCAAAUAUUAAAUAUCUUUGCCUACUGUGUUAGGUAAUAAUAUAUAAUAUAUCUUUCCAUUUUUUAUCUAACGUAAAAAAUGAAUAAAGAGACCGAUAAGGCUGGUGAGAAGAGGAAGAGGACUACAGGAGUAGACAAAGAUCCGUCCACGUC